rnacentral:lncRNA from 1 species
UCGUGUUCUCCCUUGAAUGCCGUGGCUUAGGUUCGCCCCGGGGAACAGUACUCACGGGCCGCUCUAUAGGCGGAUCCCUCACCAGUUGCUCGAUCUCGGUUGCUUGGGAAAAGAGUAGAGAGAGGCGCCUUUCCAAUUAACUGCCCUAUGUUAGUGAGAGAAGGACCAAGCAAAAGGAGGCUGUCUAUCGAAGCCCGGCUCCAUGGAAUUAGGGGAGUUCGUGGCACUAACAACUCUCAGCGGGCGAAGGAGCAGGACGAGGCAUGCCCGCGCUCGACACAUCUAUUCCUCAUUUAAUCAACUUCGGCGAGACCGACCAAAAGGGAUCGCGAGGGGAAAAAGGGGAGGCAUAAGGAAAUGUGAAUCUCCAAUGAACUAAGAAGAGCAUGGUUAGGUUUGGAGGCCUGCCAAAAUUCUUCAAUCAACUAGGAAACAAGAAGAGAUUGUUGUUUACAGAAAAAGUUCAAAGAGGUUCUCCUGUCACUGCAUGAUUGCAGGAAAAUUAGAAACCGAGGUAAGUUUCUUUUGGAGAGACAAAUGGCACGGGGUUACAUAAAUGCUUGUAAGGAAAUGGUUGGGCUAGG